GGUAUAGAUGUGCUAGUGCUUGAUAUAAUCCAUGAUCUUGUAAGAUGAUUAAUAGCUAUGCAAUGAACAUAAAAGAAUAACAAAUAACUAUAUGAGAUCUUGUCUGUAAGUGAUCACCGGGACAACAGUGCAACCAUGAGGGCUAUAAUGUCUCUGGCUUUAGCUCAGUAUGAAGCACUUUUCUAGCUGGUUAGAGGUUACCCGAAAGGGCGGAGGGGCUGAACCGUUUUGGGUAUAGUGUGGCCUCUGUCUGUAUGAGUAUAGGCUGCGAGUCAUUGUGCCAUCGGAAGGGGGGCUCUAUAUCUGCGCGCAAAGAAAACCUUGCGGCCCUAACUUGUUAGACGAACUUUUGAAAGGCUUCAUAGUGAUCCCUGCCGACCUCCCUAGGAAGGGGGUUAAGAGAUUAGCUACCUCGGGCGAAAGGGUAAAUCAUGACUCAUGGGUAAAGAUGUACAACCUCUGCAGAGUGUAAAACUGGUAUACUAGCCGUGCUCACGGUUAUGAGCGGCCUUGGGGGUUCUUGCUGCGCCGACGAUGAGCUUAUUAAGUUGUUAGGUUCAUUUGAUUAUCGUUUAUGCAAUGGAUUAAUUAUGCUUACACAUGAUCAUGGGAUUAAUGGAUUAUUUAUGCUUCCUUGACAAUUGCUAUUUAAUUAUGAACAUGCUAUCCACUAUUAAAAGCUAAAUGCAGUCAAACCAGUGUCAGCUAUUUGAGCCUCAUGAACCCCUGGUUAUACUUGUUGAGUACGAUAUGUGCUCACUCUUGCAAUUUCCCAACACCUCAGGGUAUGAUAAUGAAGAUGACUGGAAUGAGGAUUAUCGGUAUGAGUACUAGGUUUGGAGUCAACCAGUCAACAGUGUCCCUGUGUGGAGCUUCCAUCGAGAGCGUUGUUUACUUUAUGCUAUCAUUUUUGUAUGAGACUAUGUGAUUCAAUAUAUAGUCCGCUAUGUAAUAAACACUGCAAUGGUACAUUUGAGAUUUGUCUACUUAUGUGUGCGACUGUUUCUGGGGCACAUAUGAGUCUUUUAUGCAUCCUAUUUUGUUCUUAAAAUAUGGGUGUGACAAAUUGGUAUCAGAGCUUUGUUGACUGUCGGACGCAAGCCUAGUUAGAAAUUGGCCGUCAUAAGGUUUUGAAAUUGCUAUAAAAUCCUUGUUCUAUAAACCUUGAUAUUUUCUUCUACACUAUAUCCUAUUCAUCUUCACCUUGUUGCUUAUCUUAAAGACUUGUUCUCAUCCCCACUCCUUGCUUUGAAUAUGCUUUUAGAACCUUCUCUUACUACCUGCUUACAUAGUUGAAAGAGAAUUUUAGGAAUCUUUGCCCUUAAUAGGAAGAGAACGAUAGUACCGCAAGUUGAGUUAAUGCUUGAAAUGCGAACCUUUGAUGCUUGGUUUGGUUUGUUAUUAUGCUUAUGCUUGAUUUGGAUCUUUGUAAUGAGUGCAAUGAUCUUGUGGAUUUCCUCUACAAUUUCAUUUAGUUUAUAGGCUUAAGGCAUAAGGAUUAAUGAACUAAAUAGUUGGGGUUGGUUAAAAUUCUGUUUCUGUCCUUUGCUGUUUUAUGGAGCAGUCUGCAAUGAAUCUGGUACAUCUCAAAAUCUGUUCAUGCAAUGUCCAUCAAAUUUUUCUGGGAACAAGUAGACUUCCAUAUCUUUCCAAUGCCGCAAGAAUGACCAUAUCAUCGAUUAUGAGCUGAGAGUUAUGACUGUUUCAAGUUGAGGUUUCUGCGCAGUCUGGAAUUCUGGAACAGUUUCGGUUGUACCCAGUUUUUGGUUAACCUCACGUUGGAAUCUGGUAAUAUGAUCUAAAUGAAAGUUGUAGACAAUUUCUUUAUCUUUCCAACGGUGUACAAUAUGUAUCCUUUUGAAUUCUGGAACUCGAGAUAUUACUGAUUUUCUGAUCUGCUGAUGUUGGAUGUUACCCAGAAAAUUUCAGAUUCGGUUAACUCUUGUAAUUGUCAUGUUGGACAUUACUAAGAUGUGUUUAUAUACCUUGGAAUGCAGAUGGCAGCAAGGGGAAGAGGCAGAGGCAGAGGCCGUGGCAAUAGUGACAAUGCCCCAAUUACUGUGGAGGAACUUAUGCAAACUCAGAAUCAGAUGAUGCACGUCUUCAUGCAACACCUACAACAACAACCUCCACCAACACCACCACCUGUUCAUGUGAGAGAUAAGCGGGGGGAAUUCAUGAAGGGAAGACCUCCGGUAUUUACACACUCAGCGGAUCCCAUGGAGGCGGAUGAUUGGUUACGUGCUGUGGAGAGGCAACUAAACAUAGCACAGUGCAAUGACUUAGAGAAGGUGUUGUAUGCUUCUGGACAACUUCAGGGAGCAGCUCAGACCUGGUGGGAGUCAUAUCAAGCUGCUCGUUCCAACAAUGCUCCUCCUGUCACUUGGUUAGAAUUUUGCAGAGACUUCCGAGCACGACACAUCAAUGAAGGAAUGAUGGAGCUCAAGCAGGAAGAAUUCAGAUCUCUUAGGAUGGGUUCUAUGUCUGUGGCUGAGUAUCAUGACACGUUUGAGCAGUUGGCUCGCUAUGCUCCAAACGAAGUCAGAGAAGAUGCUGACAAACAACGUCUCUUCAUGAAAUGUCUUUACCAUGAACUCAGAUUGCAACUGGCUGGAAAUACCUACCCUACAUUCCAGGCUCUGGUGAACCGUGCCAUUGUGUUGGAUAACAUGCGCAAAGGUCUGGAUAAGAAGAGGAGGAUGCUAGCACAAGGGUCUGGAGGCAACAACCGCCAACGUUUCAAUUCUCAGCAGAGCAAUCAACAGAGGUUCCAGGGACCAGUUAGUCAAUGGGAUCGCAACCAACAAUCUCAGCGUAAUCCUAAUCAUCAACAAAGUGGACAGCAGACUUCCCGCUCCGGAGAUUCAAAUGCCACCUCUAUGAAGAGAAGUGCUCCCAAUACCCCUACUAGGUGUUUUCGCUGUGGGAAAGAAGGUCAUAUGUCAUAUGAUUGCCCGGAGAGAUUCAACCAGCGGAACAACAAUCAAAAGUCUAAUUCUCAUGGAGCAAAGGUGAACCAUGUGGCUGCAGAGACAGUACAAGAGGGACCGGAGAUUAUGAUGGGUACGUUCAGUAUCAACUCUAUUCCCGCUACAGUUUUAUUUGAUUCUGGAGCUUCGCAUACAUUCAUAUCACAAGCAUUUGUUAGAGCUCAUAGCAUACCACUAGUUGCCCUGAAAACCCAUAUGCUAGUAAACUCACCGGGAGGGACUAUACCAGUUUCAUAUUGUUGCCCCUCAGCAAGUCUUUCUUUAAGGGGGGUAGAUUUCCCUGUUAGUCCCAUGGUUAUGAGAACCUCAGGCAUAGAUGUGAUAUUGGGUUUGGAUUGGAUGAAGAAAUAUGCUACGGAAAUUAAGUGCAAGGAGAAAGUAGUAGUUGUGACCACACCCAAGGGAGAGAGAAUCAGUGUGGACGUAGCAGUACAAGCUCCACCCACAGCCACAGUGAAUCAUUUAGAGGAUGAUGGUGUUGAUCUUCAGGACUGUGUAGGGAAUAAAUUUUCAGAUAAGUUAUUAGGUAUGUUACUUGACUAGAGACAUUGAAUUUGCUAGUGCAAUGGGAUUGGCAUUCACAAGGAGAAACAACUUGGGAAAGAGAAGAGGAUUGGAGAGAAUCAAAUCCACAGUGCUUUAUUUACACACUGCUCAAUCUCGAGGACGAGAUUCUUUUAAGGGGGUAGAGUUUGUAACACCCAAAAUUUUGAAUUUUAAUUAAUAGGAUUUAAUUUGAAUUAUUUAAGAAUUUUAGUGAGCAUUUAAUGUAGCAAAUAAAUAAUUUUUGUGGAAAUUAAAAUUUAUCAUAAGCUUAGUAACAUGAUUUUGUGCAUUCAUGCUGAGAUAUAUUUUAUUUUGUGUUGAUUGUAUUUGGUUUGUAUUUAAUUGUCCUCAAAAUCCUUUCUGAAAAAAAAACUUUGAAAAAAAAAUAAAACAAAACAGAAAAGAAAUUAGAAAUAAAAAAAAAAGAGAAAGCCCUUGGAAGACAGCCGAAGCCCAGCUCCCCGGCCUGGCUCCUCCCCCUCUUCUCUCCUCGCUGACACCCUGGGGCCGCAUGUCAGCGCUUCCAUCUCCUUCCUCUGUUCGUAACCGAGCCGGACACGGCCGGGAGCCAAUCGAACCCGAUUUCUCGGGAUUACUUGCCAAACGCGUUAGCCGAGCCCCUAUAUAAUCCCUAGCAUCGCCCCCGCGCGUGUUUCCCAUCUUCGCCGCGCAAAAUCCGUGUCCUAGCUACAGCAGCCGCCAGACGGGAUCUUGCCGCAAGCCGAGCGCCUUGCCGUGCGCCGCGAGCUCCUCCCGUCGUUCUUCGGCCCCAGCAAAGCACCUCCUCGAAUUCGCGGUGAGCUCCUCGUUCCGAUGGUGUUUUUCUUUCUUGAAACGGUGCUCGGAAACGAGAAACCCGCGAACGCCGGCGAGCUUUCGAACGGUGGCCAUGGCGCCACCGUGCUGAGCUCCGGUCGGCCGGCCAGGCUUGGCCCUGGAUGGAACACCAGCCGUUAGAUGCAAGAUCAAGGGACAGAAAUAGAAGUUACCCCUUCAGCUGCGAAACUAUAUAAAGAGUCCUUGAACUUUUUCAUAUUUGCUCCGCAGUCCUUGGCGCCCUGAGACGAUUCCGUUACUCAACUCCGAAAGCGUAUUUCGUGAAUUGCCAUUGGAUUUAGUUUGCUCAUAAAAUACUCAUUUUAACUCCGUUUUUGUCCAUUCAAAUUCCGUUGGAUUCGUAUUUACGAUCUCUACAUGUUAGAAAUAUUAGUUUACUGUUUUGAAACAUUUUAAUUCUGCAGUAGCAUUUAAUUAAUUAUUACUCUAUAGGAAAUCUUAGAAAAUUCAUAUCUUACUCGUUUUAAUUCCGAUUUUCGUGAACUUUACGUUUGUGUGAUCGUAGCGCUGCGUAGAAUAUUAUCAUAAACUUUUAUAUUUGUUUUACCACUGUUUGGUGUAUUGUUCUAAUUAUACCUUGUUUGCUUCGUGUAUGAUUGUCUACAUUGGAUUGCGUGUUGUUGAUUGAUGAUUGGGAUUAGACGGUGAGCCGUACGUUGGUGAUCAAGACCAAGCUUUUGAAGACCAGCGGGCUCAGGAGAGCUUUGGUCAAGGCAAGUAUAACUUGGGACCAUCCUUGUUACCUAUUCACUUAUAACUACAUAUAUAUAUCAUAUGCAUGCUAUCACCUUGUCGACCUUAGCAAAAUCAUAGAUGAUUGUUACCUGUAUUCCUUGCUACCUACUUGAUAUGCAUUUGGUAUAGAUGUGCUAGUGCUUGAUAUAAUCCAUGAUCUUGUAAGAUGAUUAAUAGCUAUGCAAUGAACAUAAAAGAAUAACAAAUAACUAUAUGAGAUCUUGUCUGUAAGUGAUCACCGGGACAACAGUGCAACCAUGAGGGCUAUAAUGUCUCUGGCUUUAGCUCAGUAUGAAGCACUUUUCUAGCUGGUUAGAGGUUACCCGAAAGGGCGGAGGGGCUGAACCGUUUUGGGUAUAGUGUGGCCUCUGUCUGUAUGAGUAUAGGCUGCGAGUCAUUGUGCCAUCGGAAGGGGGGCUCUAUAUCUGCGCGCAAAGAAAACCUUGCGGCCCUAACUUGUUAGACGAACUUUUGAAAGGCUUCAUAGUGAUCCCUGCCGACCUCCCUAGGAAGGGGGUUAAGAGAUUAGCUACCUCGGGCGAAAGGGUAAAUCAUGACUCAUGGGUAAAGAUGUACAACCUCUGCAGAGUGUAAAACUGGUAUACUAGCCGUGCUCACGGUUAUGAGCGGCCUUGGGGGUUCUUGCUGCGCCGACGAUGAGCUUAUUAAGUUGUUAGGUUCAUUUGAUUAUCGUUUAUGCAAUGGAUUAAUUAUGCUUACACAUGAUCAUGGGAUUAAUGGAUUAUUUAUGCUUCCUUGACAAUUGCUAUUUAAUUAUGAACAUGCUAUCCACUAUUAAAAGCUAAAUGCAGUCAAACCAGUGUCAGCUAUUUGAGCCUCAUGAACCCCUGGUUAUACUUGUUGAGUACGAUAUGUGCUCACUCUUGCAAUUUCCCAACACCUCAGGGUAUGAUAAUGAAGAUGACUGGAAUGAGGAUUAUCGGUAUGAGUACUAGGUUUGGAGUCAACCAGUCAACAGUGUCCCUGUGUGGAGCUUCCAUCGAGAGCGUUGUUUACUUUAUGCUAUCAUUUUUGUAUGAGACUAUGUGAUUCAAUAUAUAGUCCGCUAUGUAAUAAACACUGCAAUGGUACAUUUGAGAUUUGUCUACUUAUGUGUGCGACUGUUUCUGGGGCACAUAUGAGUCUUUUAUGCAUCCUAUUUUGUUCUUAAAAUAUGGGUGUGACAGCUGCCGGAAGUACCGACUACGCCACCCAACGAAUCCUAGGACAAUUAAGAAAAUGGAGAGUCCCGUUCGGAGGACUUAAAAACACCGAACGCCUUGCCAACAUGUAAACUUGGUAGUUAUCAUUUCCCUUUCAAUUAUUUCAACUAGUUUACUUAGUUAAGCAUGCUCAUACUAUCCUAAAAAGAAAAUAAAAAUGUGAAAAAACAGUAAGCCCCAUGUGAGUAUGCAAGUGGCAUAAAACCCAUAAGUACAUUCACUGUGGUGGCAUAAAAAUAAAAUAAAAAUUUCUUUUCUACUUUAUAAAAUAAAAAUAUAAAAACAGGGAGUAAUAAUUAUUAAGGAGUCUCAACACGAUAAAGGCUAGAUAUUUAUGCUAACACUUAAUCAGUUCCACAAGCUUUGUUGUCUAUUUGAGCUCCACAGAAUCUAAGAAUCAAGAAGACUAGCAGACGGAGGACAUUCUAAUCGCUGUCAGAAUGCUGCUGACUUUCAAAUACACUUCUGCCACCUGCUAGCUACAUCAAGAGAAAUUACGUCAAAAUUCAGCUUGGGGGAGAGCACCCCCAUUUAUCUCGAUAAGUAUUUCUAUCUAUCUAUCUUUAUAUUUAUACUAUAUUAAAAUAUAAUUAUGGAAAACCAAAUAAAGAUUUUAUGCUUAUAUAUAAAUAUAUCUUUUACUUAGUGUGUUUAAUAAAUAAAUAAAGUGGCUAUGCUAAUCUGUAUCUAAAUAAAACUUAAGCAUGGAUAUGAUGAAUAGUUGGUCUGCCUAAUUUGCACAUUUUAAGUUCUCUCUCAAGUUUAGAUAUAACUGUUAUAAUUUAAAUCUUGCUCUAGACCUAAACUUGUGGGAUGAAAACUUGAUCUGAGGUCUAAGUUGUUAACGGAUACGAUAUGGGAAGGUUGAGCUACUGUUUAUCUGUUCCUAGAGAUGCUAGAAUUCUGGAGAAUUUUAUCUUUGAAAAUCUUUAAAAUGUUGCAUGAUGAGUUCCUGUAUGAUGAGAGUUUAAAUUCCUACCACAGCCAUAUAUACAUGCUUGCUAGACUUUGAGCCACACAUUUACUAUUUACUGCUUAUGAGCAUUGAGUGUGGUCAAGCUGUGUAGACCCUUAGGAGCUUGUCAUGUGGUUAAAUCAAGAUUUCACUUGCACGUUCACUCAUAUAUGCUACUUCUACUCCGGAAGUACCAUCCACAUAUAUCCAUCCAUUUCCAUCUCUAGAAUCACCCAAAAAUAUUCUACUCCUAAUCCGGGAGGGAAUAACCAAAAAUAUUUCUGUUUUCCCCUAUGAAAUAAAUGCUCAAGUUAUCUUUUUACUACCACUUGCUAUAUUAUCUCAAGAGAUGAGUGCUCUAAAAAAAGAUAAAAAAAAGAGAAAAAAAUAAUAUAUACGAGGAAAUAAAAAGGAGCAAGUGCUCGGAACCUCGAAAGAAAAGAAAAAGUGAGACGAGAGGUAAAAAUGGACAAGUGUCCGACAGUAGAAUUAGGGGUACAAGAUACCCACCUGAGAGAAAAGAAAAAUAAAGAGCAUCUCAUUCUCCUCAAAAUAUUUCAAAAAGCAAGAAAGGUAUGUAUCACCUCAAAAGAGCAGUAGUAGAAUUAGACUUCCACCACCAUUGUUUCCAUCAUUGUUAUCACCAUCAUCACCAUACACCAUUCAUUCGCCACACAUGCACAUCUUGAUUUGACUUAUUGAUUUGUUUCUUUGGAUCCAUGGUUUGACUAUACAAUAAAUGUCUUGUAAGUAUGUAUACUUUAUCUCCCACCUAUGAGCUCUAGAUAUUAAAGCCUUAUUAGAGUAGGGUGAGAGAGAAGACAAUGUCACUAUGCUUUACACCACAAAUACUACAUAUAUUGAGAGAAGGCAUAUACCAUCACUGCCUUGGUAAGGAUCCAGAAAUACCACAAAAGAGAGAUCUGAGAGAAUCAUACAAGGAAUCUCUGAGUUUUAUUUGAAAAUCUGCAAAAACCCCAGAGCUAUAGCUGAUCAAGAAUAAGAGACAUGACACUUGGCUAGACUGUUCUAUCUUUUAACCUCUCAAGACAGAAGUGACGGUUACAAGUCCCAUAGUGAAGGUAAAGUAAGUAAGUUUUAAGUCUUGACAGUUUACUCUAAUCAGAGAUGAGAUCUUAUUUAAAAAGCAUGUGUACCGUCAAUUUUGAAAGAUAUUGCAACAACUUAUGAUCCAUAGCUGAGUCUAUCCUUGCUCAGGGACGAGCAAGAGGUAAGCUUGGGGGAGUUUAUUGACGGUCCUUAAGUAUCAAAUUUAAUUAUCAAAUAAAUAAAGAAAAGGAUCCAAAUGAAAUCAACAUCUAGACUUAGGGUUUUAUCUGACAGAAUUCCACGAGUUUUGGUGUUUGUCUAUUUCUGCAGGGGGUUAUCAGGAAAUAAGGAAGAAAGGCCCUUCGGGAUUACAUAGAGAUAUUAACGUGCUGCACAAUUAUCU
rnacentral:lncRNA from 1 species